CCCAACUAUCCCUAUUAAUCAUUACGUCAAUCCUAGAAACCAACAAAAUAGGAUCGAACGUCCUAUUUCAUUAUUCCAUGCUAAUGUAUUCAAGCGUUAGCCUGCUUUAAACACUCUAAUUUUUUCAAAGUAACAGUCCUGUUUCCCUGCAACACCAAAUUAAUGACAUUACAGUUCUUCAGAAAGGAGGAAUCAGCGAAGCCAGUGCAUACCAGUGGCACGACCAACCUGCUGACCCCGAAAUUCAACUACGAGCUUUUUAACUGCAACAACUUUAAUAUACGCUAUUGGAGCUGGAAUUACCGCGGCUGCUGGCACCAGACUUGCCCUCCAA
rnacentral:misc_RNA from 2 species